rnacentral:rRNA from 1 species
CUAGCGGCAGGCCUUAUACAUGCAAGUCGAACGGUAACAUUGGUGCUUGCACCAGAUGACGAGUGGCGCACGGGUGCGUAACGCGUAUGCAACCUACCUUUUACUAGAGUAUAGCCCAGAGAAAUUUGGAUUAAUCCUCUAUAACAUCUUUUAAUUUCAUGAUUAAUAGAUUAAAGUUUUAAUGGUAAAAGAUGGGCAUGCGUCCUAUUAGUUUGUAGGUGAGGUAACGGCUCACCUAGACUACGAUAGGUAGGGGCCCUGAGAGGGGGAUCCCCCACACUGGUACUGAGACACGGACCAGACUCCUACGGGAGGCAGCAGUAAGGAAUAUUGGACAAUGGACGAAAGUCUGAUCCAGCCAUGCCGCGUGCAGGAUGAAAGCCCUAUGGGUUGUAAACUGCUUUUAUACAGGAAGAAAAACUCCGACGUGUCGGAGGUUGACGGUACUGUAAGAAUAAGGAUCGGCUAACUCCGUGCCAGCAGCCGCGGUAAUACGGAGGAUCCAAGCGUUAUCCGGAAUCAUUGGGUUUAAAGGGUCCGCAGGCGGUCUUUUAAGUCAGAGGUGAAAGCCUACAGCUCAACUGUAGAACGGCCUUUGAUACUGAAAGACUUGAGUUAUUGUGAAGUGGUUAGAAUGUGUGGUGUAGCGGUGAAAUGCAUAGAUAUCACACAGAAUACCAAUUGCGAAGGCAGAUCACUAACAGUAUACUGACGCUCAUGG